GGCUCUGCGCUGGGGCGGCGCCGUCCCACCUGCGCGGGCCUGCCCGGCCCCGGCGAGCCGCUGCCUGCCCGCCCGCCGGGGCCGCCGCGCCUCCCCCCGCUCGCCUCAAACCCGGGCUUUGGGGCGCUUUUAUGGUUUAUUUUAUGGUGUUUUUGUUGUUUUUGUUUUUGUUUUUUUAAAGAAAAUCCCCAGCAGACACCGUCCAGCAGACAGGCGUGGCCAGGGCGUACGCGUCCCGGUGUUCAUUUCCAGGCAGCGCCUCGGGAUUCGCGACAUGAAUCAAGGUCCUGUUUGACAUGUAAACAGCAGUAAAAGCCGGUGUCUUUCUAAACACCGAGAGAUUAAAUAUCGCCGAACCUGAUGGGCCAGCGUACCGGGAUCCCCCCCGCCCCCCAAGAGGAUAGGUUCGCCUUUUGGAAGAUCCUUGCCGCUGGGAGCAGCUUCCCUGGGAAACCCCCCUGGGGAGCCACGGUGUGACCCGGUGUCGGCGGACAGGGAUUUGCCUAUCCUGGGACUCUGCGAUGUCCCAGCAAGCCCCGAUUCCGGGACGUGUUGUAAUUUUAGAGUUUGUUAAUGAGCUUGCCUGUGUGCCCGGCACCCAGUGUGUGCCUUGAGGAUUGGCAGUGCAGGCUGGUAAUCCUGCUAACCUGGCCCUGGCAGGUGGUGACAACUCCUUUAAUUGUUCUGGGAUUGAAAGCUGGCUUCUUGCUAUGCACAGAGCCUGGCGUGGAUGAGUAAAAUGAGGGAGAAAAUUAUUUUUGCUAAUAAUUCUUUUCCAUUCUACCUUGAUGGUGGCUGUUGGCAUGCUUCCCUCUGCAAGCUCAGGCACUGUGCUGGACCUGUCAGCUGUGGGAUCCAAGUCUUAGGUUUGCUGGGACAUAAAACUGUGAUAAAACAUUUAUGUUCCAGUAAGCAACACUUCUCUGAUAGUUAUUUAAAGUCUCUGUCUGCAUUGUUCCAGAACUAUUUCCUUUUUCCUCUAAGCAACCUAGAGUAGGAAGCUGACGGUCCCUCAGGUAACCCGCUUUCACCUCUCUGGAAGCCUCGCCUGAUGUUGGAUUGGAGGCCAGCAGAACCCACAGAGGAUACUCGGAGUGCAGCAGACAGCAGAGAUGUGCAUUGCUGGAAUCCAGAGUGUUUCGUAAUUUGGCAGCCACUUGCUGAAAGCCCUGCAGAUACAAAACAACACUUAUUUCAAGUCUUGAGAAACAUCUACUAAGUAGAAGAAAAAAGCAUUUAGGUGAAGCAAUGUUGCCAGUCCCAUUUGUUUAUGAGGCUUGGUUUUUGUCUCUGUACAUUUUAAAUGCUUUUUAUUUUCCUUCUGCUUUUUGAGCCUUUCAAGUUCCCAUUUUCCAUGUUUUCCUUAUAACAAGAAAGUCUGGAAUCAAGUCCUUACUUUAAAAAACAAAAAUUUGGUUCAGAGUCCUGUAUAAUCAUGUAGCUCCAGACAAAGGGUGUUUAAAAAUAAAGCCGCUUUGAUGAGAACUACCCAUCUUGAAGGUGACUUUCUCUCCUGAGUUUAAGUACAUACUUUGUUGACAGUUUAAGAAGAUUUUAACAGCACCUGAUCUGUGUUUGCUUUCUACUCAGAUCUCUCUCUCUUUUCUUCUUUUCUAAAAAUCUGGAGUGUGUUUCACGUCUAUAUGUGCUGACAAGAUCAGAAGUGCAGGGUGCCAGCAUGACUGUGACUAUGUUGAACAAUGCACACCAAUGCUUUCAGAAAUACAGUGGGAUCCUCAAGCUGUAUACAAAAGACAAGAAGGAGAUGACCCUAUUCAGUGUGAUGAUUUUUCUUUCACUGCUACAUACAUAAAAGUGUCUGGAAAUCUAUUAUCCAAGGGACACAAAACCAGCUUUUUGACAGGUUGCUCUUCCUGCUAAAACCUGGUAAAUGCAGAGACCUGACUGUGUGAAAGAGCAAUUUAUAUUAGGAUUAGAAUUCACUUCAGGCUUUACUGCUAUUUGUCACCACUCAGGAAACCCAUCCCUAGCUCUAGGAGAACACUCAAUCCCUGCUGACAGCCUGGAAGAGGAAGAGAAAAUAGCAGAGCUGCAGCUAUUAAGACCAACAGGCAAAUAUUUUAUUCAAACUCAACUUUUUCUUCCCAGGUUACUUUUUUCUGUUUGUGGGAAUGUGAAUGUGGGUUGUUUGUUUGUUUGUUUUCCUGGGGACUCUCCUAUUCAGCUGAUCUUCAUCUUCUCCCACCUUUCAGACAGCAGAGCUUGCAGCAGUGACAAGAUGUAAUCCCAAGUAAAACUGCCUCUGCCUGUGGCCUUGGUUAACCUGCUGGCAGUGAUACGUGCCUGGGCACAGGGCAACUGUUUUACACAGCUCAGCAUGGACGUGCUGCCACUCCCAGUCACUUUUAGGACCCAACUGAGUUGUUUACAGCAAUCUCAAAAAAAACUUGUAAUAAAAAUUGUUGUGCCUUCCUGAAGCCACCACUCCCAGAGACCUUUCCCCUUUCUUGUAUAUUGUGGGAGCCUCCUUCCUUCGGCUUCACACCUUUAUCAGCUGAAAAUGAUCCAAUACAGAACUGGUUGUUGUCAGGCUCUCCCUUAGAAAGAUGGGCUACACUGCCACUCUGUUGUGACUGUUGAGAACUGGAAGAUCAGAGAGGAACGCAGGGAAGUGGAAGCCUGCACCCUCUUUUAUGUGGAACAGUCUGUAUAUGCCCUUGUAUAAAGUUCAGCAUAGGAAAACUUGGGCUACACUUGCAUUCCUACAUACCGUGCCAUACCAGUCAGCCUGGUACUAAUCUUCACGGACCUUUGAAGGCAUGAAACAACAUGCAGUGUAAAUGAAAUCUAAGCCACACCAUACCAGAUUAUUGGUGCCAGCCAGUUUUAGAAGACUGACACAAGAGCCAAGUGAAACAGGUACAGUGGUAGGAGAUGCCUUGUACCACCUGCAGGCACACAGACCCACAGCACUUGUGCAGCAUCCGAGUCCAAAAGCAAUGUGCGGCAUGUAAAGAGCUGGUGAACCCAGGGCCACUUAGACUUGAAUGCACUUUCCUGGGGAGGAAGUGGCUUUUCCCUUGGAAAGCUCAACUCCCCAGGGUCUGAAUGAGGUCAAUGGAAAAAGUGAUUUCUUCAGAAUAUGAUUCAGAGUGCCUAAGCAUAGUCUUAUCUUAUUGACUACAGACAAAGCUCAACCUCUGUAGAUUUAAACUAGCUUUUGUGAAUACCCAUCCCCUCUUGCCCCUUAAUUGUGGGAGUUACACUAGUUCUGGACAUGGUUAGUCCUUGGUAGGCCCACUGCCUACUGAAAUUCAGGUGCUGCAAACCUCAGCUCGGAGAAGCACAGAAUUUCCUGUUGGAUCCUGCUUUGUCCUUUCGAGUUACCCUGCGAUGUCAGAAAUGGAUUUGCAAGUACCAGAAGAAUGAAGUCAAGAAAGGUUGAUUUCUUUAGGGAUGCCCUGAUUGGAGCUAGAAUAAUCAGCAUCUGUUUCAGUUUAACUGAGUUUUUCAUUCUGGCCUUUCUCCCCUUUCAAAGUACAGGCAACUGAAGCCUUUAAUUUGCUCUGUCUUUUCACUGCAGAGAAAAGUAGGAGUUUCUAACAGCUGAUACUAUCCUGUGUAGAAUAGCUACACUAAAAAAAUACAGUUUAUUGUCUGUUGUGAAUGAAAAAGCUCUUGCUUGUUUGUUUGUUGUGUUGACUUUGAAAGAUAAAUUGUUUGAACUGGU